GACGAACGCUGGCGGCGUGCUUAACACAUGCAAGUCGAACGAUGAAGCAAAGAAUUGAAGCUUCGGCAGAAAUUCAUUUCGGAUUAGUGGCAGACGGGUGAGUAACGCGUGAGCAACCUACCUCUUACAAAGGGAUAGCCUCGGGAAACCGGGAUUAAUACCAUAUCACAUUGCGACGAAGCAUUUCGAUGCAAUCAAAGCUACGGCGGUAAGAGAUGGGCUCGCGUCCCAUUAACCAGAUGGUGAGGUAACGGCUCACCAUAGUAACGAUGGGUAACCGGCCUGAGAGGGUGAACGGUCACACUGGAACUGAGACACGGUCCAGACUCCUACGGGAAGCAGCAGUGGGGAAUAUUGCACAAUGGAGGGAACUCUGAUGCAGCGACGACGCGUGAGUGAUGAAGGAAUUCGUUUCGUAAAACUCUGUUCUAUGGGAAGAAAAGGACUGUACCAUAGGAGAAAGCGCCGGCUAAAUACGUG
rnacentral:rRNA from 1 species